CACGCGACCUUCUCUCGUUCUGCACGCCAACGAAGCCGCCGCCGCCGCCGCGUCUCCUCCUUUCUCUCAGCGUCGCCAGAUCGGGGAUCGGGGAGCCACCGGGAGGAGAUCAGAGACGCCGCGACCAUGGCAGAAGUAGCAUCCUCGAAUAGAUCCGGCGCUCACUGCUGCCGCCGUCUGUUUCUCUUGUCUAUGGUUGGGGCUUCGGCAAUGGUUGGUGCACGACGACUAGAGGUGCAGAUCGAAGAUGCGUCCGCCCCCGCCUCCUCUGGUGUUGGCCGCACGCUCGAGAGGGCAGCUGCGUUGCUGGCCGCGGGUUCAGCAGCCAGCGCUUCCUCUCCUCUCCAAAUUCAGCACGCCAUCUAGUGAGUGCACCGGGGGCUGCCGUGCCCUCAACGACGGUAGAGCACCAGGUUCAGGGAGGACAAUAUCCGUUUGAAGGACUCAUCAGGUCCAGAAUAUUUGGCUGAGAAGGAAUGGCUUCAACCAGGGGAGACAUAGGAUGUGAGUUAGGCCAAGGCAAACUGAUAGGAAGGAUUGAGUAUGGCGAACGGUCUAACUGUCUCAGACGUUGAUCAACAUAUUGGAUUGAGCAGGGUGCCCUUCUGCUCUAAAGAUUGGAUUAGUGGAGGUAUUUAGUUUAUGAUGGUCAGGUCAAUCAAAAUCACAUGGUCUUUUUUUCAAGUUGAGGAAAAAAAGACACCGGAACAGGCUAGAAGGUGGGCGACACCGCGAGCUCUCCUCCUGAAGAAGCCACUGCCCGCUGCAGUCAUUGACACCUCCUCUGCCGCGGGAGGCCGUGGGCGAGAGGAAGGAGGCGUCGUCAUCUGCAGAAGGACCAUCGCCCUCCUUGUCAAGUGCAUACCUCUGCUGUUCUUCCCUGGGGUGUGAGGAUCAAGUGAAGGUGGAGCAUGGCUAGCCUGCUUGUUUAGCACAGUCCAGUAUUCUUUGAUUUUUCUUUGCAGUUCAUGUUUUGGCUUGAAUAAUUUCAAAAUCGAGCAGGGAUUGUUUGAUUUUUGCUGCUGAUGGUUUAAUUGUCAAACUACAGGUGCAGAGGAGAGGGACAAUUUUCAUAUCAAAUACUCAGGCUGGACAAUGGAGUGAAGCAUAUGAGUUAUUGUGACGGUGUGUUAAUCGUGAGGAACAAUGGUAAUCAUGUGGAUGGCGCCGGAGAAGCUCGCCUCCGCGCCCACAAGCCUCGGAUCCGGCAGGAUCCGGGACGAGGAGGGGUGGAUGAGACGGGGGAGGAGGAGGAGAGUGUGGGGGCGUCUGGGGAGGAGAGAGGGGUGAGAAGAUGAGAGGGAGAGAGAGAAGAGGUGGUGUAGCAGGGCCGGACCGCCGUCCUCUUCCACUCCAUCAACAGGCUUUCUCAACAGCAGGCUGCACCACUGCUUGAAAGCCACCGGUCUUCUUCCACUCCAUCAACAGUUAGUUAGUCAGCCGCCUCCCAAUGAAUAUCACACAGUCUGGAUACUUUCUUGGGUCAAUUCCCCUAUUUUUCACUGUCAUAUUCAUCAGCAAUUUCAGCGGCAGGGAGUGCUUGCCGUAGUGGAAACGAAGCAAGAACUGGAUGGAGCUCAGGAUUUUGCUACUACCUUGCUAAUAGCUUUGUGAGGCAUGUCACCGAUGACAAGUGCAAGAAGAAAGCACCGAGGAGAAUCCACAAAUCCAAGAGGCAGAAGCAUAAGCGCGUCCUGCUCAAUGAUUUCUUGGGUGAACUUAUCAAAAUGCUAGGUGAGUUAAAUAGGUGUGCAUCAAUCACUAGCCCCCUCGACACCUUAUAGAUUACGUCACAGCUAGCGUUGCUUCAGUGAAGCUGUCUCUUAAUUUGGGGGGUCGUUUCCUUUUCCAUGUAGUUAUUUGGAAUGUCAGAGUUGAGUGUGGGUAUGUAUGAAUCUGGGUCAUGUUGUUACUAUCCAUGUCCAAUUGUCCAAGUCAUGCUUUUGGGGUGAAUACUGGGGUUCAGUAUGUGUCAUGGAUUUCUUUAGUAGAUCCCAAUGAAUGUUUAUGCCGUUGAAAACGUGGAUGACCUCAUUGAAAAUUAGUAACACCAGAAGACCUCUCGAUGUUUGUUGACAAUUCAUUACAUUGUGCAUAAUUGUCAGCAUGUAAAACUGUGUAGUACCUGCAUCCAUUAAUUCCAAUCUUUUUCUAAUCCAUCUGUCUCAGGCUCUCAGCCAUGCAUCUUGCAUCAAACUGUAUGUGCCUUGGAGUAUAUUGCUUCUUAUAUUGCACCCAUUAUUAGUGAAGAAAUUGCGAAAUGCUUACUAUGCAUGGUGAUUAUUUAAUCAGAGUAACAUCUGACAUGAAAAGGCACUUCAAAUCAGGGCUAAUUUUCAAGCCUGAAUACCUUUUACUUAGAACAAAGUACUGGUACAUCUUCUCUAUUUUUAAAUGUAGCCAUCCCACUCUCCCUGGAAGCCCCGCCCCCCUGCUACAUUUUCAUGGUCACCGCCCCCAGGAACGGCUACAAGAUGAAGCGACGCACAAGGUUGCGCGUUCAUGCAAUACUUUACCCAUGAAAUAGAAGAGUUGUGCAGGCGUGUGAUUCAAGUUCUUCGACGGAACGGACCCAACUCAUUCAGUGAAGAAAUUUCAAGGUUCUCUUUCGGAACUGGUUUGAGCUUCUAUAAGUUCAGUUUGAAGAACAGUAUCACAGAAUAAGGAAUCAUGAAAAUAAUGAGGUAACAGCAGAGGGUGAGUGUUGCAAAAAAGAUUGACGACUGGAGCUAAAAACAGGCAAGAGAAUGUACAGAAAAGCCUUACUUUAGAUUUAGCCAGUAGAGCAUGUGCCCUUCGCAUAGGGAUAAUAACUUUUAGUAAAACAGCAGCACCAGUUUGAUUCAGGGUAUACAAUAUCUUACAAACAGUCAAGGAUUCACCAACUCACCAGUCAAGCAUUAGAUAGAUAACAAAAAGGUAGGAAUAACAUGUGUGCAGAAGUACAUUCCUACUCAUCAUGAGGACAGGUGUCAAGAAGGAACUAGGCAUACCCAUAGCAUUUCCCCACUGUUUAAUCAAUCUUAGUGGAACUGGGUGGUCAUGUAAAGUAGUUUCACUUGGGGUGCAUCCAUCAGCCUCCUUAACCACAUAAUAGACAGUGGAGCUGAAACUUCCCCUCUUUUUUUAAGAAUGCCUAGUCGGGUUCUUCUCCUACCAGUAUCGAAUAGAACUCGAAAUCGAAUUUCAUUGCGGGAAAUUAGGAUUUCAUGAGGGAGGAAAAGGGGGUGGAGAGUCGUACAAUGCAUUGGUGGGAUGAAGAUCAGAGAAGCGAAUGCCUCUUGUAAUUGAUUGAAAAGUGCUCUGCUGCUUCAAAUAUCAUGACAAUUCAAAUACAAACUGCAGACCUGUACUUACGGUCAGAGAUGAUGGCUGAACAUUCCUUAUUUCCAAUAACAAUACUUUCCGCUUGAAGGAAGUUUCUUAUUGGAUUACAUAAUGCUUCCAGAUCAUCUUCGUUCUGGUCAUAGCUAUUCUGAGUUGUCAUAGUCUUCAAUGUUAGGCAUCUAGGUGCCCUAAGCAGCUUGUCAUUGACUGAUUGAUUUAGAAAACACAUAGAUUCCUGUUUCGCCUGUAGAUAAAGUAUGGUUAAAUAGUUAUGGAAUUCCUCAGGAACUGUGUCCUGAAGUUUCCCACUUUCGAAGAAACUGGAAACCCAUAAUAGUUUCCUAUGGUUAUCUAUGAUCUCUUCUAGGUGCUUGGCAAACUCAUACUCCCUGUGUGAGGUAAUAUAGAAGAUCUUUUAGAUCAUUAAAGUAGUGAUCUAAAAAGUCUUGUAUUAUUUUACAGAUGGAGUCUUCUUUACCACUUAUAAGAUCCAUACUCACUGAAUCUACUCACGCUCAUUCUGGAGUGAUGAAGAAUUGAGAUGAUAAUGGAAAUAAGAUCCAUGACAUGUUGUUCCUAAGAUGUGCGACUGAUUGCAAUGGAACAAUAUGCGGAUGCACAAGUUCUUACCAAAACAGAGGUAGCACGGUCUAGAAUAUGGGACACCAAACUGCAAGGGACUUAGGAAGAAUUAUCGUGUGUUGAAACUGAGAGUUGAAAGGGCAGCUAGCAACUGGUCAUGUAUAUCAGACACCUAUCACAAGCAAUUGAUACUGAUAGAGUCCAAAUACUACAGUCAAUUGUGAUUCGAAUAAUUCUAAGCUUAAAAGAACCUCGAAUCCAACAACAUUUUCCGCGCACCAUCUACUCGAUGGUAUGCCCAUAUGGAUUGUUUGAUCUCUUCUCCUCUGCAGACUGCAGGUGCAAGUCCCCCGCUCAGUGAGGGCGUGGUCAGAUUGCUUAAUGAGUUCUUUUAUUUUUGGGAUUUUAAGAUGACUACUGCUUGAGCACCAUAGUUGAUUGCUAUUUAUUUCAGAUCAAAUUCUCAAUCAAUUUUUCCUUCCAAUUGAAAUGAAAUAUUCGGCAAAAUAGAAUGAUGUAUAUUGCGAGACUAUGUACUGUAGGAGUUAUUUGAGUAAUGAUGUGAAGGCAAUGUAUAAACUUGGUGAAUUCACUUCA